rnacentral:SRP_RNA from 3 species
UGUCGGUCCCCUCGCAAUGAUUCGCCGUUAACCUGGUCAGGCCCGGAAGGGAGCAGCCACAGCGGUUAUAUCGUGUGCCGGGGUGUGGCUGGCGGGG